AACAGCAACAUAUAAUGUCAUAUAAUUUCUUAUGGUAAAGUAACAAUUCAUUCACAAGGUAAAGUAUGAAUCGGAAACUUCAUUGAAAAGUAACAAACUAUGAUCUCGGUCAUUGAAGCAAUUGCAAUUUAUCAUAACAUCGGAAAGAGUCAAUUAGCUUUUCAACAAGUCCACGUACUCAACUAUCAUUUAGUCUUUCACAAUUGCUAAUACUUACGUGAUACUUAUGGGUUCGAAGCUUCAAUCCGACACACAGAAAGAUAGGGGCUUAUAGUUUCGCCUCCCAACCUUUUACCUCAAGGGUAAUGAUGGGUCUAUUAUGAUAACACCCUCUAGAGUCUUAUUCACACCAAACCCUUAUUCUGCUAACACCCCCGAACGAACAAAUAUAAUAAGAACCCACACCUCCUCCCACAACCACCCACCAGCCCCCACGAUCGACCACUCUCCCCAAUCUCCACGACCUGCCUCCACUGCCGCAUCUGCGCCAAGCCCCGCCGCCCACCACCACCUACCCGGCAACCGGCGACCAGGGGGACGGACCCAACCACCGCACCCCACCACCACCAUCUCCCUCGCGCCACCAGCCUCCCCUGCCCCGCCUUCCUAUCUCGAUCGCCGCCGCCGCGGCACAGGCCCCCCCGACCAGCCAACUACCUCCGGCGGCCAAGGCCGCCCAGCCAACUACCUCCGGCGGCCAAGGCCGCCCAGCAACAACCAGAUCCGGUGGGAUCCGACUCCACCUCCCCUAGUCUCCCCCUCCCCAACCGCCCAGUCACCGGCCAAGGCGCACCGAGGCACCGCCCUCCCUCCCGGCUAGCUGCGCUGCCGAGCCGCUUCUCGCGACGCCUCCCCUCCCCGCGCGCGAGGUCCUGCGCUCUGAACGGAGGCGUGGACACCCGCGGCGGCGCCGUGUAUCUCCCACGACAAGGCCCCCUCCCCACCCCCAAGGCAGCAAUCGGCUCCACGCCACUGACCCUCCCCUCUUCUCCUCUGCCUCGGUCACAUUGAGGGCUGACGGGUGCAUCUAGCUCCGCUGCUUGCCGGCGUCUACAACCCGUGCAGUGACAAGUUGAAAAACGGAAGGAGGAGCACCUCCUCAAGCCUCCGUUAAGAGCGCAGGACCUGCGGGACAGCCCUCCCUUUCCAAGCACGCGGCUGAGCCAGGUUGGUUGUUUAGAGGUUUUACAAGUUGUUUGAAGUUCAGUUCGGCCGCGACAGAGCUCCCCGUCGUGUAGUCCACUUCACACCCACCGGCGUGUUCUCCCUUCCUCCUCUGCGUGACCCAUCAUGCUGUCCACAUUGCCACGCUCCUGGGGUUUCAGGGCUGCACCGACGACAUAACGGCGAGCGGGAGAGAAGGAGCAUGUGCGCGUGCAGUGCGGUUCGCCUCGUCCGUCCAGUUCCCCAAUACAAGGCUGCAGUUUUCCUUUUCCCCGAUGAUGAAGACAGUCAGAUUUGUUGCAUCUUGUGCAUAUUGCAGGAUUUUGAAAAAAGCAAUGUGAAGGUUUCAUCAAGAUCUCGCGCAAUCCAUCUCACAGCCUAGCUCUGCAUCGACGCCUAGGCAAUUUCUGUUUCUGUGACUUGCGAUGUUGGUGGUAAUUUGAUGAAGCAUCAAGCCGGUAAUUUGAUGAAGCAUCAAGCCACGCAGGCGUCGAUGUUGGUGGACUUGCGAUGCAGAGCAGUUUCUGUGAUCGUUGUCGUGUAACCCAUUGCUGCUAGCCUGUGGUUCGUUGUAUGUGGGUGUGCGCUUCAGCCUCCGUGGGUGUGCGGGUGGGAGACCAAUUACUGCUGCUCAGUUUGUUGUGUAGAGAAGAAAACUGAAGUGCACUACAAUACAGUUUCUUUUUGUAAAAUGCAGACAUUACCUUUUGCUUU